rnacentral:rRNA from 1 species
GACGAACGCUAGCGGCAGGCCUAAUACAUGCAAGUCGAACGGUAAGGCCCUUUCGGGGUACACGAGUGGCGGACGGGUGCGUAACGCGUAUGCAACAUACCUUCAAGCGGGGGAUAUGCCAGGGAAACUUGGUGCAACACCCCAUAGCAUUUCGGGACCGCAUGGUCUUGGGAUUAAAUAUUUAUAGCUUGGAGAUUGGCAUGCGUGACAUUAGCUAGUUGGCGGGGUAACGCCCACCAAGGCGACGAUGUCUAGCUGGUCUGAGAGGAUGAUCAGCCACACUGGGACUGAGACACGGCCCAGACUCCUACGGGAGGCAGCAGUAGGGAAUAUUGGACAAUGGGGGAACCCUGAUUCAGCCAUGCCGCGUGAGGGAAGAAGGUCCUCUGGAUUGUAAACCUCUUUUGGCGGGGGACAAACCUAGCACUAUACGUGCAGCUGAGGGUACCCGCAGAAUAAGCACCGGCUAACUCCGUG